UACGUAGGGUGCGAGCGUUGUCCGGAUUUAUUGGGCGUAAAGGGCUCGUAGGCGGCCCUGUGUGUCGGGUGUGAAAGCCCACCUCUUAAAGGUGGAAUUGCAUUCGAAACUACAGGGCUGGAGUGUCGGAGAGGAUGGCGGAAUUCCUGGUGUAGAGGUGAAAUUCGUAGAUAUCAGGAGGAACACCGGUGGCGAAGGCGGCCAUCUGGACGACAACUGACGCUGAGGCGCGAAAGCGUGGGGAUCAAACAGG
rnacentral:rRNA from 1 species